CAGGCAGCAGAGUCAGAGAGGCUGUGCGUAAAAGGAGAGUGGUAGCAAAAUAUUAUGGGGUCCGAGUAACAUCUGAUGAGUUUCUAUGAGGCUGACAGGAGGGCGGAGACAGAGCAGUGGUGUGAUGUUGGAAAGUAUUCGAGUAGUGAAGCCUCGGUGUUGAAUGGAUCGAUGGUUUUAAUCAGUUUGUGAUGCAGCGUCUGUGAAGUGGAGACGGUUUUGGAUGCCACCGUAAUAUUUAGGAGACAGAUGCUAACAGCUGGUUUUGAGUUGCUGAUGGGAUCCAGGAGUUCCUAGAAAUCAGGAAACCGAGUGCGCCCCCCUCGCCCUCUUCUCUGUAGGGAGCAAACGCUUCGACCCCCAACAUAGACCUAACUGUCGG